GACAUGACUCUCGCAGCAAGCUCCGCCUUCUAACAGACUUGCGACUCUCUGGCCUGGAUAUUUCUGACGUCACAUUGCGGUUGAUCAUCCGGCAUUGCCCACUUCUAUCCAAGCUGGACCUCAGCCACUGUCCUCUGUUGUCAGACCAGUCUGUCAACCUUCUGACUGCUGUGGGUUCCUCCACACGAGCAUCCCUCAGCCAUAUCCACCUUGCAGGCUGCAAAGGAGUGACAGACCAAUCCCUUAUCUACUUGAGACGUGCCUGUAACCUGAUUCUUAUUGACCUCCGUGGCUGCAAACUGGUGUCAAGGGGAGCAUGUGAGAGUUUCAUCUCAGACUUGUCUGUGAGCACAUUGUACUGUCUGUCUGAUGACAAGCUCAUUCAACGGAUCAGCUAGACUGAGAGCCUGUUUUAGGACUAGAAGGUGUGGGGGUGUGAGGAAGCACACUAUCAAUCACACUUUUCCCCCUCAAUAGCUCUCUUCUCGCCCCCUCUAUCAUCAGAUGCAAAUGAGGAGCAAUAACUGGCAUCCCAAGAUCCUGCCCCUUUUGUUGCCUCUGAAAGCUGACAACUGGUGUGAGGGGGUGGGCUUAAUCUGAAACGGGUAUAAAACCAGCUCUGGCGGCCCUAGUGGUGGGGGCAUAUCUGGGACUGGCAUAUUGACACCUCUAGUACCAGAUCUACGUUCAUGACGAGCAAACACUUUAUAUUUUUCUUUGGUUUUGCUCCUUAGUCCAGAAUCCCCCUCUCCUCCAAAAUGGUCAAGGAGAGGACAUAGGGAGUAGACCUGGCAUUUUUUUUUAUUAUUUUUUUGUGCUCUCUUUAGCAUUAUAAGGGGCAAGUGCUCAGCUAAAGUUACUUCUCCGGGUGUUUGGGUACGGUGUGUGUGUGUGUUUGGAGAGGGAUGAGGUGGCUUCAUGAUAAAUAGUGAGAUUUAUUAUUAUUAUUAUUAUUGUUAUAUAUUUUUUCAUUUUUAACUUAAUUCGGUUGAUGCUUUUGCAACCUCCCCUCUCCCUAUGGAGCACACACCCAGACUCGCACACAUCAAUGCAUUAAAUUUACACUCGGGGAGCUAUUUGUGCAUAUAUACCAUGUAUACACAUACACACGAAAGGCACGUUUGUCAGUGCCACUCGUGUUGUACAGUUAGCUGUUCCCUCCCCUGUCCCGGGACAAGAUUGUAUUAAAAAAAAAAAAAGAGCCUGGAUAUUUUUCUCUGUGGGAGCGGUCUCGCUUUCCCUUUAUUUCUUUUGCAAUAAAAAAGAAAAUUUAUGAUAUA